rnacentral:rRNA from 1 species
AGAAUCAACGCUGGCGGCGUGCCUAACACAUGCAAUUCGAACGAGAAAGUGGAGCAAUCCAUGAGUAAAGUGGCGCACGGGUGAGUAACGCGUGACUAACCUACCCUUGAGUGGGGAAUAACUUCGGGAAACCGAGGCUAAUACCGCAUAACAUCGUAGAGGGAAGCUCUUUGCGAUCAAAGGAGUAAUUCGCUCAAGGAGGGGGUCGCGGCUGAUUAGCUAGUUGGUGAGGUAACGGCCCACCAAGGCUAAGAUCAGUA